rnacentral:rRNA from 1 species
GAUUCAGCGGCGGACGGGUGAGUAAUGCCUAGGAAUCUGCCUGAUAGUGGGGGACAACGUUUCGAAAGGAACGCUAAUACCGCAUACGUCCUACGGGAGAAAGCAGGGGACCUUCGGGCCUUGCGCUAUCAGAUGAGCCUAGGUCGGAUUAGCUAGUUGGUGAGGUAAUGGCUCACCAAGGCGACGAUCCGUAACUGGUCUGAGAGGAUGAUCAGUCACACUGGAACUGAGACACGGUCCAGACUCCUACGGGAGGCAGCAGUGGGGAAUAUUGGACAAUGGGCGAAAGCCUGAUCCAGCCAUGCCGCGUGUGUGAAGAAGGUCUUCGGAUUGUAAAGCACUUUAAGUUGGGAGGAAGGGCAUUAACCUAAUACGUUAGUGUUUUGACGUUACCGACAGAAUAAGCACCGGCUAACUUCGUGCCAGCAGCCGCGGUAAUACGAAGGGUGCAAGCGUUAAUCGGAAUUACUGGGCGUAAAGCGCGCGUAGGUGGUUUGUUAAGUUGAAUGUGAAAGCCCCGGGCUCAACCUGGGAACUGCAUCCAAAACUGGCAAGCUAGAGUAUGGCAGAGGGUGGUGGAAUUUCCUGUGUAGCGGUGAAAUGCGUAGAUAUAGGAAGGAACACCAGUGGCGAAGGCGACCACCUGGGCUAAUACUGACACUGAGGUGCGAAAGCGUGGGGAGCAAACAGGAUUAGAUACCCUGGUAGUCCACGCCGUAAACGAUGUCGACUACCCGUUGGGAUCCUUGAGAUCUUAGUGGCGCAGCUAACGGCAUUAAGUCGACCGCCUGGGGAGUACGGCCGCAAGGUUAAAACUCAAGGAAAUUGACGG